CCUAGUACGUGCAAUGCUAAAUCAACAAUUAUUAUUAUUAUAAAUAAUUUCUUAAUAAACUAAUGCACUGUACGCGUAAAUAUAGAUAUGACUCCAUUUUCUAGAAAAAAAGACCCACUUCAAUUUUGACAAAACCUAUUGUUUUAAUUUUAAAACUAACUACUGAAUCGAUUUUGAUUAAAUUUCUAUCGGAUCAAUCUGAAGGUCUUUCAAAUAAAAAAAAAAUCCAAUCCUAAUAUAAGGUGACAAAUAUAAACAAAAAAAAAUAUAUCACCGAAUUAAGAACCUCUUUCUUUGCAUUCGGUUGAAAAGUUGUACAAAAACACCACACAAAAACCGCACCUCUUAUAACUUGUACCAAAUUCAAUUCCGUAUCGGGCAAAGACGAAACCCUAACGAGUUUUAUAAACGAAAGACUAUUAGAGCAAUUAUCGCUCAAGAAUUAUUAUUCCAUCUACUUCCUUACUAACACACAACAAAUAUACUGUUUAGUAACACGACAGCUUCGUUAGUGAACGUUACCGCAUGCAUUUUGUAAUGUAAAUUGUGUAAUUAGUAAAUUACGCACGGUUCCAGAUAAAUUUCUAAAAGCGGUUUUCCCCGAACAUGAAACUCCGCAAUUUCUAGAAUAAUCACGCGAGAAGUCCAAUGAAGUAUUGUUAUAACGGAUUGGAUUCUUCAAUAAAUUGACAUCAAUAAAAAUGAUAUUUAUAACAGUAAAAGAAUGUUAGAUUAAUUAAAUUCCAAGCCUUCUCUGCCUCGACCUCUAGUACCAACUUAAUACGACAAAUAUAACUAGA